CCUACGGGAGGCAGCAGUGAGGAAUAUUGGUCAAUGGACGGAAGUCUGAACCAGCCAUGCCGCGUGCAGGAAGACGGCUCUAUGAGUUGUAAACUGCUUUUGUACAAGGGUAAACCUGAAUACGUGUAUUCAGCUGAAAGUACUGUACGAAUAAGGAUCGGCUAACUCCGUGCCAGCAGCCGCGGUAAAACGGAGGAUCCAAGCGUUAUCCGGAUUUAUUGGGUUUAAAGGGUGCGUAGGCGGAUUGAUAAGUUAGAGGUGAAAUGUCCGAGCUUAACUCGGGAACUGCCUCUAAUACUGUUGAUCUAGAGAGUAGAUGCGGUAGGCGGAAUGUAUGGUGUAGCGGUGAAAGGCUUAGAGAUCAUACAGAACACCGAUUGCGAAGGCAGCUUACCAAUCUAUAUCUGACGUUGAGGCACGAAAGCGUGGGGAGCAAACAGGAUUAGAUACCCGAGUAGUC
rnacentral:rRNA from 1 species